UUUUAAAUUCUUGAAACAAAU
ensembl:piRNA 21ur-2581 ncRNA